rnacentral:lncRNA from 1 species
CUGAGAGCUGCCUGUCCUGUGCUGCUUGACUUGGAUGCUGCUGUCCUCUUGCUUCAGCUGAUGGAAAGCGCUUGAGGCAGAUCUGCCUUGGCUGUGGCUGAAUCACACAACUUUUCUGAGCUAAUCUGCUGGUACACUUAUGGCUUCAGAGAGCCUGGUGCAGGUUCCUCAUCCAGCCAACAACCACAACCCAUGGCACACUGGAUGGCUUCAAGAUACCUUGAAUGUGGGAAAAUGGACGAGUGAGUGAAAUGAUGGAGAAGUGGCUGAAAUACCAAACACAGCUGUGAGAAUGAAAUGAAAUCCAUCUGACACAAGAAGAUGUUCCAGCUUUUCCCCAGGGAAGGAAGGGUCCUGGUGACCUGGCAGGGGACAUGGAGCUGCUGGCUGUCACAGCCCCAGAGGAAGCAGGGAAGGAUGCAACAGCAUCACAACCCGAGGUGGAAGGAGCAGAAGAAGCAGCUGCAAUGCCAGAGGCAGAGAGCCUAGAAGGGAAGGUUAUCACUUCUGAAGGAGCAGCAGCACCUGUGGUGGGAGCAUCAGAAAACCCAGCAGCAGAAAGAGUGGCUGAAGCGUUUGCCAGGGCAGCAGAGAGAAUUGCAGGAGCAGAAGUAGCCAAGGUGCUGCAGUCAGCAAUAGCUGAGCUCAAAGGAAAGAGGAAGGACGUGAGGAUAAAGCCAAGGAACGCCACUCAGCAGGAAGAGGAUUGGAUGAAAGAGGGAGAGGUGAAAUGAAAUGGAGAGGUGAUGUUCUGGGUCAUACCUCCUUAUGGCUUGUACCAUCACUCCUGGAAUGCAAUAGGGCUGCCAAUCACAUCUCUUUUGUGACUCAUUAUACUGUUAAAAAUAAAUAUAUGGCAUAUUCUGCA